CCUACGGGUGGCAGCAGUGAGGAAUAUUGGUCAAUGGGCGCUAGCCUGAACCAGCCAAGUAGCGUGUAGGAUGACUGCCCUAUGGGUUGUAAACUUCUUUUAUAUGGGGAUAAAGUGUAGUAUGUAUACUGCUUUUCAUGUACCUUAUUAAUAAGGAUCGGCUAACUCCGUGCCAGCAGCCGCGGUAAUACGGAGGAUUCGAGCGUUAUCCGGAUUUAUGGGGUUUAAAGGGAGCGUAGGCGGGUGGUUAAGUCAGUUGUGAAAUUUUGCGGCUCAACCUUAAAAUUGCAGUUGAUACUGGCAUCAUUGAGUACAGUAGAGGUAGGCGGAAUUCGUGGUGUAGCGGUGAAAUGCUUAGAUAUCACGAAGAACUCCGAUUGCGAAGGCAGCCUGCUGGACUGUAACUGACGCUGAUGCUCGAAAGUGUGGGUAUCAAACAGGAUUAGAUACCCGAGUAGUC
rnacentral:rRNA from 1 species